CAAUCCUAGAAAUUACGAUCAAAGUCGUUGCCACAAAGACUGAGGCAACGCUUUGAACUGACAGCAAAUUUAAGUUAUGGUAGUUAUUUUAGAUAAGCCAAAUUAUGUCAAAAUCGUCAUCAAAAUAAGUUAACUCUUUCGAGGACACAAAAGUUUGAUGAGGCAAUUGCGCCCUCUAUUGACCAAAAACUAGAUAAUACUAGAUAACGUAGACACACCUACAGUUUCCUAUUGGCCUUAUCAACUAAUGACGUACAGAGAAUCUUUCCCUUUAAAAGUUAGGACAAAGGGAAGAGAGUGGGUAGUUUGGGCUUUCGGAUUCGGACAUUCAGACAGAUAUUCAGGACACUCUGGGACUAACACUAAACUCUCAAACUCUCUUGGAC